UUCAACAGUAUUGUUGCUGCUGACCAUCAGUGGAUGACAGAUUGUUGUCUCUUGACUUUGUCUUGGGUAUGCAGCACAUAUUCUGUAUUAUAAUUUUUCAAACAUCUUUCCUUUACAGACAAAAUGGAUGCCAUCAUGCAUGGAAGCAUGAGCCUUGAAACAGAGACUAAAUGUUUCCACCUCUCCCCCAAAAGAGCAAAAAGAGACGAUACAGUGACAAACAGCAAUUCAAGCACGUGUGACCUCCCAGAUUUUUUGACAUUACAAACUCUUGGAGCCCCACCUUUGGCCUCAGCCCCGGAUUCAGACCUUAUAUGCUUCAAACUAAAUGGACAUAUUCUGGACAAAAAACCCUGUGAACAAAUUCAAGACACUCCAGUAUCUGUCGGGCCUCAGGCUGAAGGCACAAUCUCAAACACACCUGAAAUCUGUGUCACCGGUGAAGAGAGUUCCUUUCUUCAUCUGAAAAAUUAUGAUCAGCUAGACAAGCUCAGCCCAAGCCCAUUAUCGGGGUCAUGCACUUUGAAAGACCCCACUGCUGACAUGUCCACGCAUCCCCAGCAUCAACUCCUGGAUAAAUCACUUGAAGACAAACCUCCUACUGAUUGUAGCUUACCUUGUGAAAAUGAAUCGUCCAAUGAUGGGGAAGUCAGACAUCAGUCUGAUUUCUCUUGCCACUCCAAUGGACAUGACACUGUUCCAAGGACAUGUAGCCAAUCUGUUGCAUUUGAUGAGAGUAAUCAAAAGGAGGAGGAUUUCACCAAUACUAUCUUCCAACAGGGGGUGGGACGAGAUGAGGGAGAGAAAUCUCCCAGUCUUAUUAAGGAGUUUCAAUUAUUUGUCCCUCCACCUGAUAAGGGUAUUCCCGUAAUGUUGGCACAGGAUAAAAGCAAAGUGGACAUGUGUGAUAGUCAUGCUGUGUGCCACAGGGAAACAAAUGAGCGAGCUAACGAUAAUGGAACAAGCAACACCGUCUCUCCGGUUGAAUGUACUGAGGUAUUACUUAUCUCUUACCACGCUCCACAAGCCAUGUACAUUUCAGCUGAAACAGAAAGCACUGAUAACUUCGGACGGGCAAAUGGAGAGCACGAUGAGAUGGCGGCCGGAACACAGAGGGAAAGAGUUCAUCACACGCCAGAGAAUCACAUGUCUACGGGAAUCAGCAUAGAGGCUGCUGAAGGAGAUAAUGAUGCAGACCUUCGCAGAGUAAUGGAGCCUGCACUCUGGAGCAAAACUGUCAGGGCGGCUGAAGAGAAUAGCUUUAACUCUGAGAGCGUCGCAGGUGAAGAAUUACCUCCAUCAGUAAUAGACUGUGAGCUGGAAAUAUCUCUUCAUCCCGCAUCUGAUGCCAAACCAUCGCAGCCGACUUCGAAUGGGUCCGUUCGAUCUCCUAACCAGAGCAGAGCACAACAACAUGAAGACAAAAAAGAAAAAUUGAGUGAGUCAUUUUCUGUCCCCUCCUUUGGAAUGCACAACACAUCUGGCUACGAAGGCAGCUGUCACCUGACAUCAAGUCCCAGCAUUAGUCCACAAAGGACCGCAAAACCUCCUGCAGCUGGGGAUGGAAGACAGCAAAGCGGUGUUAUUGCGGGCCAUCAUUUGGAAGAGCGGUCCAGCUGUUUGCCUGUCAGCCGCGACGACCUGAAGGCCCCACAUGUUCAACAUUCACUGCCUGGAGCCGGCACACGGGACGAGCCAAAGGAAAUCAAAGUAAUGACAGGUGAAUUAAAAUCAGAUGAGCUGGCUCUGCAACAACAUAGCCCAAGCAAUGUGGACAUAAGUGAGCAAACACUCGAGGGGGGCUUCACAGAGGGUAGCCAAUUGACACCAGGAAAGGCAGCGCUACCUGACAUCACACAAUGCCAACAAACAGUGGAGAUGCUGGAGCGCAAAGUUGAGCUUUUGACUUCAUUCAGCGAUACCAUUAAAUCGGGGCCUUGCGAAUUAAGCCACAGACUCCUCUCACAAAACACAGAUCGCGUCAUGGCUCAAAAGUGGCAGGACAGAUUCUCCGCUUUUGCGAUGUGCACCCAUGUGCCAGCGGGCUUUGACAACUUCCACAAGAUCCUACUGUCACCAGAUGAUGAUGAUGAUGAUGAUGAUGCUGUCCAAGGGAACGGCUGUCCUCACGCCAGCUUGUCCGUGCAGCUCAUGAAAUCCCCACAAAUGGAGCGCCCCAUGCUUGAAGCGGAGGGUAAGCAUGCGGAGAGGCCAAAAGGGAUGGAGGAGGACCAAGGCCAAGCGGCAGGCGGUCGCGUUGAGUGUCACGUUGAGGACUUCGCCAAUGGAGAUUUCAACACGGAUAGCAACUGUACUCAAGGUUUAUCAGGGGAGGACAUGAUUGCUUCAGAGUUUUCCACUGAUGCCGGGAACAAGAGGCCGCCGCCCCACGACCCGAUCCACUGCCUGGAGUUCAAGAUGAAAAAUGAAUUUGACUUGGUCUUAAAGGAACUCAACAUGUAUUUUGAUAUCUGUAAAAGUGAAAUUGCAUGUGACAACGGGACGUCUCCUGAGCAGUGUGGGGACAUUCUGUGUAGUGAAGUCUCCAAGCGCAAAUGUCACAAAUGUCACAAUUGUUCAGAACUGGCUCUCCGCAGAGAUUCAACUUUAGAUCCGGAUGAAGGCCGCAGCAUCGAAAUAUGUGUUCGAGAUCCAGAGGCUUGUUGUAUAACCCGCCGUGGAGGUGAACAGGAAGUGCCCAUUGCAUACCACGUGUCCAAAGAAGCAUCAAGUCAAGCCACAGAGAACCACAAAGAGACUCAUCAGACAGAACUGAAAAGGACAGCGUGGACCCCGUCCUUCAUGGGUCUGCCUCUCACGCAGCCACAAAGCCACGCACGAUCAUGGGAGGCCAAGAGACUGGAGCCCCUGAGGACGUGCACCCGGCCAAUCCGACUCGGACUGUCCAAGAGAGCCAAGCCCAAAUCCCUGCACCGUUUCCACCCGUGCAAAUGAACCCCAAAAAUGUUCACAGGGAGCAUUUCUCAGUCGCAGUCCGUUCCAUGUUGUGUCGUUGUGUGAGUGUUGCGAGAAGGACAACACGGAUGAUCUUGACAGCAACCUGAGGUCCUGCACCAGAGAAGAUGCGCAGCCCACAGAAGGAGAGUGUGAAGUCUGGAACCAGGUGAACGCCGUCCUUCAGGACUCCGAAAGCAUCCUGUCAGGUCUGCAGGCGUACAAAGGAGCCGG